UACAGAGGGGGCAAGCGUUAUUCGGAAUUAUUGGGCGUAAAGGGCGCGUAGGCGGCUUGGCAAGUGGAAGGUGAAAUCCCUCGGCUUAACCGAGGAACUGCCUCCCAAACUGCUUGGCUUGAGACCGGGAGAGGUGAGUGGAAUCCCCAGUGUAGCGGUGAAAUGCGUAGAUAUUGGGAGGAACACCAGUGGCGAAGGCGGCUCACUGGACCGGUACUGACGCUGAUGCGCGAAAGCGUGGGGAGCAAAUGGG
rnacentral:rRNA from 1 species